rnacentral:lncRNA from 1 species
AUGAGAGAUGUGGUAUGUGCCAACACCACCCACCUACUUCUACUAAACCAUCUGAUUCCAGUAUUGACUUACUUAGAACUGCAAGUGUUCUUUAGUCUCCUCACAUUUUCAAGGGGAAAAAAAAAUCAAAAUGAGGAAAAAAACCAACAACAAUAGAAAAAAAGGACAAAACAAAAAUAAACAAAGACAGAGAGUCUAGAGUCGGUAGGAUGCCAGGCUGUUCUCUAGUCCCAGCCACCAUUCAACUUUAGGUCUUCAAGAGACUUGAAAAGGCAGGACUGGCACGGUGUGUGUCCUCUAAAACAGAAAUGCAAGAAUGGCGAGUGUUGAGAUUUUAACUGAGCAGAUAAAGCAGCAUGGAGCAACUGUCCUCCUGAGGAGAUCCUCACCUGGGGUCUACAAGAGGGUUUGGCUGAAACAUCUCUUAAAUUGCUUUCAGACAUUUGGCAAAGUGAGAACUGAUACAACAAAAGCUAGACAUUUCCCUCUCUCCCUAUUGGUUUGAGAGGUUGGCUUCGAAGGCUGCUUCACCACACAAUGAAUGCUAUACACUGCUAGCUGAGGGCUGUAGACCUGUGAAGUUCCUCCAAAUCUGCACUCCAAGUUAAGAACACAAAUGUCCUGCUCAGCUAUUCAUGAAGCACAAGAAACAUCAUGCAAUUGUUGACCACUGCUGUUGUCUGCAGCAAGGAGCAUCUGGCUGCCACAUCUGCAUUCCUGAUAUUCAGAACAGAGUCGUUAAGGCUGAGUCUAAGUAUCUUUUCACCACUAUUCCUUCUCUCU